GCAAUUAUAGCUCAGCGUUAGUGUGUUAGGUUACCACUCUAAAAGUCGUGGAUUCGAAUCCCAUCGAUACCG
rnacentral:tRNA from 1 species